GGGGAUGUAGCUCAGAUGGUAGAGUGCUCGCUUAGCAUGCUAGAGGUACGGGGAUUGAUACCCCGCAUCUCCA
rfam:Ipomoea nil DNA, scaffold: scaffold3227, cultivar: Tokyo-kokei standard.